AUUUAACGCUGGCGGCAUGCUUUACACAUGCAAGUCGAACGGCAGCGCGGGGCAACCUGGCGGCGAGUGGCGAACGGGUGAGUAAUACAUCGGAACGUACCCACAAGUGGGGGAUAACGUAGCGAAAGUUACGCUAAUACCGCAUACGUUCUACGGAAGAAAGUGGGGGACCUUCGGGCCUCACGCUUUUGGAGCGGCCGAUGUCUGAUUAGCUAGUUGGUGAGGAGAAGGCCCACCAAGGCGACGAUCAGUAGCUGGUCUGAAAGGACGACCAGCCACACUGGGACUGAGACACGGCCCAGACUCCUACGGGAGGCAGCAGUGGGGAAUUUUGGACAAUGGGCGCAAGCCUGAUCCAGCAAUGCCGCGUGAGUGAAGAAGGCCUUCGGGUUGUAAAGCUCUUUUGUCAGGGAAGAAACGGCUGAGGUUAAUACCUUCGGCUAAUGACGGUACCUGAAGAAUAAGCACCGGCUAACUACGUGCCAGCAGCCGCCGUAAGAC
rnacentral:rRNA from 1 species